AGGAUGAACGCUAGCUACAGGCUUAACACAUGCAAGUCGAGGGGCAGCAUUGGAGUAGCAAUACUCAGAUGGCGACCGGCGCACGGGUGAGUAACACGUAUCCAACCUGCCGCUUACUCGGGGAUAGCCUUUCGAAAGAAAGAUUAAUACCCGAUGGUAUAAAGAGUUCGCAUGUUCUCUUUAUUAAAGAAUUUCGGUAAGCGAUGGGGAUGCGUUCCAUUAGAUUGUUGGCGGGGUAACGGCCCACCAAGUCUACGAUGGAUAGGGGUUCUGAGAGGAAGGUCCCCCACAUUGGAACUGAGACACGGUCCAAACUCCUACGGGAGGCAGCAGUGAGGAAUAUUGGUCAAUGGACGAGAGUCUGAACCAGCCAAAAGUAGCGUGAAGGAUGACUGCCCUAUGGGUUGUAAACUUCUUUUAUAAGGGAAUAAAGUGAGGGACGUGUCCCUUUUUGUAUGUACCUUAUGAAUAAGGAUCGGCUAACUCCGUGCCAGCCGCCGC
rnacentral:rRNA from 1 species